GAGAACGCUGGCGGCGUGCUUNUUACAUGCAAGCNCGAGCGAACCCUUCGGGGUUAGCGGCGGACGGGUGAGUAACACGUGGGUAACCUGCCUAUAAGACUGGGAUAACUUCGGGAAACCGUAGCUAAUACCGGAUAUAUUUUUGGUUCACAUGAACCGAAUUGGAAAGGCGGCUUUUGCUGUCACUUAUAGAUGGACCCGCGGCGCAUUAGCUAGUUGGUGAGGUAACGGCUCACCAAGGCGACGAUGCGUAGCCGACCUGAAAGGGUGAUCGGCCACACUGGGACUGAGACACGGCCCAGACUCCUACGGUAGGCAGCAUUAGGGAAUCUUCGUCAAUGGGCGANAGCCUGACCGA
rnacentral:rRNA from 1 species